CAUUCCUCCAGACUGAUGCCUGCUUCUGUGGGGGCAGCCGCCAAUUGUGUUAACAACACACCCUUUUAAAGUGUGCCAUACAGAGAUUCAUCUGGACACAGGUUUCUAAAUAUCCCCACAGAUAGCUAAACUACAGCUCCAGAUUCUAACAGUGUGGUCCAGUGAGAAGCCCAAUGUUUGAUCUACAGGUUGUUCAUCUAUAUAAUGGGCUUCUAAACAUGAGUAAUUGCUUAAGAUACAUUAGUGAAAACAGAGAAAAUGGCAUCUUCAUGUUCUGUAUGACAUGUCGGUGCAGAUGAAUGACAAAGCUUGGAUUUGUUCCUAGAUGCGGAAGCCUCUCAGGCAAUCUCAAACACUACACGGACUUGUACCUGCUCCCCGCAAUGCCUAGGUCAUGGCUAAGGAGGUAGCAGAUAUCGGGAAGAGUUGCACCCUCAUCUGUAGUUUCUGCCUGUGUGUUCGUUCUUCCCAUGAUGUCAAAGGCUAUCAUUUGCACCGUGAGGACUGGUUCUCCAAAAGUGUCUGGGAAAGUUCAUCUUACCUUUUUGUCAUCCUUGUUAACAUAAACAUCUCUCCAGGGCUUUCAGUAUCUGUCAGAAUGAUAUUCACAAUUGGCCUUUUCUACCCCCUGUAGUUCUGGAGUUACAUGUUGGGCUGCCAACUAGGUUUUAAGAGGCAUCCCAGUGUUCUUGGUACUCCCUCCCAACUUCCUUCAGCAUCCUAGGGCUCUCCAGCCUGACAAGGCAGGAGUCUAGGGCCUAAUUGCCACUGACUUCAUAAUAGUCAAUGUUUCCUGUUGAUGGGGUAAUGGGCUUUUGCUAGUUUAAUCCUCUCAGUCCGCAGAAAUUUCUUGCAUCCUGAUAGUAACACCUCUGCCACGCAUCCCACAGACUCUUGAAGGCAGUACCCUUCACUCUUAGCUCCAGAAUAGAACCAUGGUUGGUUUAGGCCAAUAAGCACAUGCUCAGUUCAAAUGGAUGACUCAAUUCUGACCAAUGAGAGACAAGGGGAUGAUUCCUGACUCAGAAACCCAGCAGCAGACUUCUUUUUACUCAUCACCAAACAAUCACGUGGGACGAGUAAAGAUCCAUGAGGUUCAUGAAUCCUUUUGGAACCCUGAAGGAAUCCAACUUUCAGAAUGAGAAAGAUAAAGGGCUAAGGACAAAAACUGGAAAGGAAUGGGUUUGGAUGAUGAACGAAACCACUUAGUCAAGCUUAGUGCCAGAGCCUGGACUGCAUCCGAGCUUGUUCAGGAGGCGAGAGCUGUGAUUCUUUCUCUUGAUCAAGAUGGUCGUCUUGAGAUCCAGAUUUUUUUCCUCUGACAUCGAUGCUGGAAGAUUUUUAAUAAACAUGAUUUAAUAAACCU
rnacentral:lncRNA from 1 species